rnacentral:lncRNA from 1 species
UAAACCUUUUUGUUUCUACUGCUAUUGAGUUAAUCAAAACCACAAACAAAAGGCAUGGGAUGCAAGUUAGACUUUAGAAAUUGACGCCUAGACUUCCCUUAUUUUUACUUCUGGAGUUGUUGGUUCUGGUUUCAUUCUUGACUCAAAAAUUAACAAAUCCUCUGUGCUCGUCAAGAUGCCUUCGUAGGGUUCUAGUCCUG